rnacentral:rRNA from 1 species
UUGACGGGGCCGCACAAGCGGUGGAGCAUGUGGUUUAAUUCGAAGCAACGCGAAGAACCUUACCAGGUCUUGACAUCCCUGACAACCCGAGAGAUCGGGCGUUCCCCUUCGGGGGACAGGGUGACAGGUGGUGCAUGGUUGUCGUCAGCUCGUGUCGUGAGAUGUUGGGUUAAGUCCCGCAACGAGCGCAACCCUCGACCUUAGUUGCCAGCAUUCAGUUGGGCACUCUAAGGUGACUGCCGGCUAAAAGUCGGAGGAAGGUGGGGAUGACGUCAAAUCAUCAUGCCCCUUAUGACCUGGGCUACACACGUGCUACAAUGGGCGGUACAAAGGGUCGCGAACCCGCGAGGGGGAGCCAAUCCCAAAAAGCCGCUCUCAGUUCGGAUUGCAGGCUGCAACUCGCCUGCAUGAAGCCGGAAUCGCUAGUAAUCGCGGAUCAGCACGCCGCGGUCGAAUACGUUCCCGGGCCUU